rnacentral:rRNA from 1 species
AGUGAAGCGGGAAGAGCUCAAAUUUAAAAUCUGGCAGUCUACGAUUGUCCGAAUUGUAAUCUCGAGAAGUGUUUUCCGCGUUGGCCUGUGCACAAGUCCCUUGGAACAGGGCGUCAUAGAGGGUGAGAAUCCCGUCCUUGGCACAGAUACCCAAUGCUUUGUGAUACACUCUCAAUGAGUCGAGUUGUUUGGGAAUGCAGCUCAAAAUGGGAGGUAAAUUCCUUCUAAAGCUAAAUACUGGCGAGAGACCGAUAGCGAACAAGUACCGUGAGGGAAAGAUGAAAAGCACUUUGGAAAGAGAGUCAAACAGUACGUGAAAUUGUUGAAAGGGAAACGAUUGAAGUCAGUCGUGCCUGCCUAGAUUCAGCCUUCUGGUGUAUUUCUAGGUCGGCAGGUCAGCAUCAGUUUGGGAGGGUUAACAAGGGGAUUAGGAAUGUGGCAACCUCGGUUGUGUUAUAGCCUAGUUUCGUAUUGAUCUUGCUGGACUGAGGAACGCAGUGCGCCCGCAAGGGUAGGUCUUCGGACACUUUCGCACUUAGGAUGCUGGCAUAAUGGCUUUAAACGACCCGUCUUGAAACACGGACC